rnacentral:rRNA from 1 species
UACGAGGGGUGCAAGCGUUACUCGGAAUUACUGGGCGUAAAGCGUGCGUAGGUGGUUUGUUAAGUCUGAUGUGAAAGCCCUGGGCUCAACCUGGGAAUUGCAUUGGUGACUGGCAGGCUUUGAGUGUGGCAGAGGGAGGUAGAAUUCCACGUGUAGCAGUGAAAUGCGUAGAGAUGUGGAGGAAUACCGAUGGCGAAGGCAGCCUCGUGGGACAACACUGACGCUCAUGCACGAAAGCGUGGGGAGCAAACAGG